rnacentral:rRNA from 1 species
UACUGCGGUUUGCCCUGUACGGCGAGUGAGCGGCACAGCUCAAUUUGAAAGCUAGCCUUCGGGUCGCAUUGUAAUUCUGUAGAGGAUGAUUUGGGGAAGCCGCCUGUCUAAGUCUCCUUCGGAACAGGACGUCAUAGAGGGUGAGAAUCCCGUAUGUGACAGGAAAUGGCACCCUAUGUAAAUCUCCUUCGACGAGUCGAGUUGUUUGGGAAUGCAGCUCUAAAUGGGAGGUAAAUUUCUUCUAAAGCUAAAUAUUGGCGAGAGACCGAUAGCGCACAAGUAGAGUGAUCGAAAGAUGAAAAGCACUUUGGAAAGAGAGUUAAAAAGCACGUGAAAUUGUUGAAAGGGAAGCGCUUGCAAUCAGACUUGUUUAAACUGUUCGGCCGGUCUUCUGACCGGUUUACUCAGUUUGGACAGGCCAGCAUCAGUUUCGGCGGCCGGAUAAAGGCUCUGGGAAUGUGGCCUCCACUUCGGUGGAGGUGUUAUAGCCCAGGGUGUAAUACGGCCAGCCGGGACUGAGGUCCGCGCUUCGGCUAGGAUGCUGGCGUAAUGGUUGUAAGCGACCCGUCUA